GGGGGUGUGGCUCAGUGGAAGAGCGCUUGCCUGGCACGUGUGAGGCCCUGGAUUCGAUUCUCAGCACCACAU
rnacentral:tRNA from 1 species